AACGAACGCUGGCGGCAGGCUUAACACAUGCAAGUCGAGCGCCCCGCAAGGGGAGAGGCAGACGGACGAGUAACGCGUGGGAAUCUAACCAUCUCUACGGAAUAACGCAUGGAAACGUGUGCUAAUACCGUAUAUGUCCUUUGGGAGGAAGAUUUAUAGGAGAUGGAUGAGCCCGCGUUGGAUUAGCUAGUUGGUGGGGUAAAGGCCUACCAAGGCGACGAACCAUAGCUGGUCUGAGAGGAUGGUCAGCCACACUGGGACUGAGACACGGCCCAGGCUCCUACGGGAGGCAGCAGUGGGGAAUAUUGGACAAUGGGCGCAAGCCUGAUCCAGCCAUGCCGCGUGAGUUAUGAAGGCCCUAGGGCUGUAAAGCUCUUUCACCAGUGAAGAUAAUGACGGUAACCGGAGAAGAAGCCCCGGCUAACUUCGUGCCAGCCGCCGCAGUAACAC
rnacentral:rRNA from 1 species